CGGGCGUUAAGUUGCAGGGUAUAGACCCGAAACCCGGUGAUCUAGCCAUGGGCAGGUUGAAGGUUGGGUAACACUAACUGGAGGACCGAACCGACUAAUGUUGAAAAAUUAGCGGAUGACCUGUGGCUGGGGGUGAAAGGCCAAUCAAACCGGGAGAUAGCUGGUUCUCCCCGAAAGCUAUUUAGGUAGCGCCUCGUGAAUUCAUCUCCGGGGGUAGAGCACUGUUUCGGCUAGGGGGCCAUCCCGGCUUACCAACCCGAUGCAAACUGCGAAUACCGGAGAAUGUUAUCACGGGAGACACACGGCGGGUGCUAACGUCCGUCGUGAAGAGGGAAACAACCCAGACCGCCAGCUAAGGUCCCAAAGUCAUGGUUAAGUGGGAAACGAUGUGGGAAGGCCCAGACAGCCAGGAUGUUGGCUUAGAAGCAGCCAUCAUUUAAAGAAAGCGUAAUAGCUCACUGGUCGAGUCGGCCUGCGCGGAAGAUGUAACGGGGCUAAACCAUGCACCGAAGCUGCGGCAGCGACACUGU
rnacentral:rRNA from 2 species